UAGGGAAUCUUGCGCAAUGGGCGAAAGCCUGACGCAGCCAUGCCGCGUGAAUGAUGAAGGUCUUAGGAUUGUAAAAUUCUUUCACCGGGGAAGAUAAUGACGGUACCCGGAGAAGAAGCCCCGGCUAACUUCGUGCCAGCAGCCGCGGUAAUACGAAGGGGGCUAGCGUUGCUCGGAAUUACUGGGCGUAAAGGGCGCGUAGGCGGAUAGUUUAGUCAGAGGUAAAAGCCCAGGGCCCAACCUUGGAACUGCCUUUGAUACUGGCUAUCUUGAGUUCGGGAGAGGUGAGUGGAAUGCGGAGGGUAGAGGUGAAAUUCGGAGAUACUCGGCGGAACACCAGUGGCGAAGGCGACUCACUGGCCCGAUACUGACGCUGAGGCGCGAAAGCGUGGGGAGCAAACA
rnacentral:rRNA from 1 species